UAGGGAAUCUUCGGCAAUGGACGAAAGUCUGACCGAGCAACGCCGCGUGAGUGAAGAAGGUUUUCGGAUCGUAAAACUCUGUUGUUAGAGAAGAACAAGUAGGAGAGUAACUGCUCUUACCUUGACGGUAUCUAACCAGAAAGCCACGGCUAACUACGUGCCAGCAGCCGCGGUAAUACGUAGGUGGCAAGCGUUGUCCGGAUUUAUUGGGCGUAAAGCGAGCGCAGGCGGUUUCUUAAGUCUGAUGUGAAAGCCCCCGGCUCAACCGGGGAGGGUCAUUGGAAACUGGGAGACUUGAGUGCAGAAGAGGAGAGUGGAAUUCCAUGUGUAGCGGUGAAAUGCGUAGAUAUAUGGAGGAACACCAGUGGCGAAGGCGACUCUCUGGUCUGUAACUGACGCUGAGGCUCGAAAGCGUGGGGAGCAAACA
rnacentral:rRNA from 1 species